CAGGUAGGACUACCCGCUGAACUUAAGA
rnacentral:rRNA from 1 species